UACGUAGGUGGCAAGCGUUGUCCGGAAUUAUUGGGCGUAAGGCGCGCGCAGGCGGUCCCUUAAGUCUGAUGUGAAAGCCCACGGCUCAACCGUGGAGGGUCAUUGGAAACUGGGGGACUUGAGUACAGAAGAGGAAAGCGGAAUUCCACGUGUAGCGGUGAAAUGCGUAGAGAUGUGGAGGAACACCAGUGGCGAAGGCGGCUUUCUGGUCUGUAACUGACGCUGAGGCGCGAAAGCGUGGGGAGCAAACAGG
rnacentral:rRNA from 1 species